UACGUAGGAGACGAACGUUAUCCGGAGUUACUGGGCGUAAAGGGGCGUGUAGGCGGUUUGUUAAGUCUGGCGUGAAAGCUCUCGGCUAAACCGGGAGAGGUCGUUGGAUACUGGCGAACUCGAGGAUGGUAGAGGCGUGUGGAAUUCCGGGUGUAGUGGUGAAAUGCGUAGAGAUCCGGAGGAACACCAGUGGCGAAGGCGACACGCUGGGCCAUACCUGACGCUAAAGCGCGACAGCAUGGGGAGCAAACAGG
rnacentral:rRNA from 1 species